UUUUUUGUUCAGAGUAUAUGAAAUCAUUCUCUCACUACGUUUCUUUCCUAUUAUUCCUGUAGGGUUUUGUAAUCCUCUUUUCCUUUUUUUUUCUAUAGUGAAUGUAGCAUUUUUCAAAAGCUGUUCUUUUAUUGUUUUUCGCUUUUCUCUUUCUUUCUUUUCAUGUUGUUGUUGUUUUUUUUUUUUUUUUUUUUUUUCUUUUUACUACAUUCACUUACUAUUCACUUACUGCAAAGCUACCCCAAACUUAAAGGUUGUUAUUCCAACAGCAACCCCAAACUUAGAUAGAAACGUAGAGAUGAAAUCAAUCCUCACAUACUCUGAACAGGGUAGGAUAGGUACAAGGUCAUGGAUUUAGAAAAAAAAAACGGGUAUAUCAAAAAUAAAUGAUUAACAGGCUCAACAGGGUAAAACAAUGGAUAAUAAUAAUAAUGGGAUGGCUAGAAAGGCUCUAGGUGAUAAACAAAAACAUGCCUCAGUGUGUGUAGUCGUACAGCUAAUAAUAACAAAAGAACAUACGCAAACCAAGAUUGAU
rnacentral:lncRNA from 1 species